rnacentral:rRNA from 1 species
UAGGGAAUUUUCCGCAAUGGGCGAAAGCCUGACGGAGCAACGCCGCGUGAGUGAUGAAGGUCUUCGGAUCGUAAAACUCUGUUAUUAGGGAAGAACAAAUGUGUAAGUAACUAUGCACGUCUUGACGGUACCUAAUCAGAAAGCCACGGCUAACUACGUGCCAGCAGCCGCGGUAAUACGUAGGUGGCAAGCGUUAUCCGGAAUUAUUGGGCGUAAAGCGCGCGUAGGCGGUUUUUUAAGUCUGAGGUGAAAGCCCACGGCUCAACCGUGGAAGGUCAUUGGAAACUGGAAAACUUGAGUGCAGAAGAGGAAAGUGGAAUUCCAUGUGUAGCGGUGAAAUGCGCAGAGAUAUGGAGGAACCCCAGUGGCGAAGGCGACUUUCUGGUCUGUAACUGACGCUGAUGUGCGAAAGCGUGGGGAUCAAACAGG